UCGUGCGAUCGAGCCGAACUGAGUUUCCUUCGGGAGACGAUGAUUGGUGACGGAGCGGCGGACGGGUGAGUAACGCGUGGCUAACCUACCCUCUUGACGGGGACAACCACUCGAAAGGGUGGCUAACACCCGAUAUUGUCUGGAACCGAUGGGUUCCUUUCCAAAGGCGGUCUUGCCGCCGCAAGGGGAUGGGGCUGCGUCCUAUUAGCUAGUUGGUGAGGUAACGGCCCACCAAGGCUUCGAUGGGUAGCUGGUCUGAGAGGACGGCCAGCCACAUUGGGACUGAGAUACGGCCCAGACUCCUACGGGAGGCAGCAGUGGGGAAUCUUGGCCAAUGGACGAAAGUCUGAGCCAGCGACACCGCGUGGGGGAUGACGGCCUUCGGGUCGUAAACCUCUUUUCUGGGGAAAGAAUAAGGACGGGAGGAAAUGCCCGCUCGAUGACGGUACUCCAGGAAUAAGCAUCGGCUAACUCUGUGCCAGCAGCCGCGGUAAGACAGAGGAUGCGAGCGUUAUCCGGAAUUACUGGGCGUAAAGGGCGUCUAGGCGGUUCGGUAAGUCGUUUGUGAAAUCCCUCGGCUCAACCGAGGAGGGUCUUGCGAUACUGCCGAGCUUGGGUGCAGGAGAGGAGGGUGGAACUCACAGAGUAGCGGUGGAAUGCGUAGAUACUGUGAGGUACCCCGAUGGCGAAGGCAACCCUCUGGCCUGCUACCGACGCUGAAGCGCGAAAGCGUGGGGAGCAAAGGGGAUUAGAUACCCCCGUAGUCCACGCCCUAAACAAUGUUCACUUGGUGUCGGCCGCUCAUACUGGUCGGUGCCGAAGCUAACGCGUUAAGUGAACCGCCUGAGGAGUACGGCCGCAAGGCUAAAACUCAAGAGAAUUGACGGGUCCCUGCACAAGCGGUGGAGCACGUGGUUUAAUUCGAUGAUAACGAAAAACUCACCCAGCUUGACAUACUAGUGGUAGGACCUGAAAGGGAGACGACCUGCCUCGGGUAGGAGCUAGUACAGGUGAUGCAUGGCUGUCGUCACUCGUGUCGUGG
rnacentral:rRNA from 1 species